UACGUAGGUGGCAAGCGUUAUCCGGAUUUAUUGGGCGUAAAGGGAACGCAGGCGGUCUUUUAAGUCUGAUGUGAAAGCCUUCGGCUUAACCGGAGUAGUGCAUUGGAAACUGGGAGACUUGAGUGCAGAAGAGGAGAGUGGAACUCCAUGUGUAGCGGUGAAAUGCGUAGAUAUAUGGAAGAACACUAGUGGCGAAAGCGGCUCUCUGGUCUGUAACUGACGCUGAGGUUCGAAAGCGUGGGUAGCAAACAGG
rnacentral:rRNA from 1 species